rnacentral:rRNA from 1 species
AUACGAAAGGUGCGAGCGUUAAUCGGAAUUACUGGGCGUAAAGCGCGCGUAGGCGGUGUGUUAAGUCGGAUGUGAAAGCCCAGGGCUCAACCUUGGAAUUGCAUCCGAUACUGGCACGCUAGAGUGCAGUAGAGGGAGGUGGAAUUUCCGGUGUAGCGGUGAAAUGCGUAGAGAUCGGAAGGAACACCAGUGGCGAAGGCGGCCUCCUGGACUGACACUGACGCUGAGGUGCGAAAGCGUGGGGAGCAAACAGGAUUAGAAACCCUAGUAGUCC